UCGACCUCAGAUCAGACGAGAUGACCCGCUGA
rnacentral:rRNA from 2 species